CGCUGGCGGCGUGCUUAACACAUGCAAGUCGAACGAGAAUCUGUGGAAAGAGGAUUCGUCCAAUUGAAGCAGAGGACAGUGGCGGACGGGUGAGUAACGCGUGAGGAACCUGCCUUUCAGAGGGGGACAACAGUUGGAAACGACUGCUAAUACCGCAUAACAUAUAGAUGUCGCAUGGCAUUUAUAUCAAAGAUUUAUCGCUGAAAGAUGGCCUCGCGUCUGAUUAGCUAGUUGGUGAGGUAACGGCCCACCAAGGCGACGAUCAGUAGCCGGACUGAGAGGUUGAACGGCCACAUUGGGACUGAGAUACGGCCCAGACUCCUACGGGAGGCAGCAGUGGGGAAUAUUGGGCAAUGGGCGCAAGCCUGACCCAGCAACGCCGCGUGAAGGAAGAAGGCUUUCGGGUUGUAAACUUCUUUUGUCAGGGAAGAGUAGAAGACGGUACCUGACGAAUAAGCCACGGCUAACUACGUG
rnacentral:rRNA from 1 species